UCGAGAAUCUUCCACAAUGGACGAAAGUCUGAUGGAGCGACACCGCGUGCAGGAUGAAGGCCCUAGGGUUGUAAACUGCUGUCACGCUAUAGGAACCCACGGUGGUGAAUAGUCAUCGUGCUGACUAAAGCGAGAGGAAGCGCCGGCUAACUCCGUGCCAGCAGCCGCGGUAAUACGGAGGGCGCAAGCGUUGUUCGGAUUCACUGGGCAUAAAGAGCACGUAGGCGGUCUGCUCAGUCGGGUGUGAAAGCCCACGGCCUAACCGUGGAACUGCACCCGAUACUGGUAGACUCGAGGACGGAAGGGGUGAGUGGAACUCCAGGUGGAACGGUGAAAUGUAUAGAUAUCUG
rnacentral:rRNA from 1 species